rnacentral:rRNA from 1 species
AAUACGACUCUCGGCAACGGAUAUCUCGGCUCUCGCAUCGAUGAAGAACGUAGCGAAAUGCGAUACGUGGUGUGAAUUGCAGAAUCCCGUGACCAUCGAGUCUUUGAACGCAAGUUGCGCCCGAGGGACCCUCCCGAGGGCACGCCUGCCUCACGGGCGUUAGAA